GACCUUUGCCGGCUGUUCAGUUCAGUACACGAUGGGGCAUGGAGCUUAACGCUUCUGUGGAUAUACAUUUCGUUCAAUCAUGAGUGUUUGCAGUCUACGUAUAGUAAAGUAAUGAAUAUAAAUUCUGAUUGGAUAGGACUAAAAUGAAGUUAUUCUGACCUGUUUGGAGCUAAUUCUUUAUUUAGUGAAACUCGAAAACUGUGCUGGUUUUGGGGCUGACGGUGGUGAGGAAAACCCGAGAGAGUACCGCUUUGGAUGAAAACGCUUUUGUUUGUCGACGCCUGAGUGAUCACCGCACACUCCCCGCAGCUCCUUUUACUCAUACCUUUGGCACGGCGUUAAUUUUCGGAAAGGAUAUAUCUGGGGACGUUAUAUUGAAAUAUCAACCUGACCACUAUUUUUCGUCUGCAAUGUCGAUUGAAAUAUUGAGGCAUCUGGCUAGGAGAAUCCAUAUCGAAAUCAAGAGCGUCUUCAUAUCAGACAAAAUACCAAGAGAUGCAAGUUUUGCUUCUAUUAUCGCAGAAGAUUAGAACUCUUUCUCAGUGAAUAACUGUAAAAAGUGGAAAAAAGAGGAGAAAAAAUGUAUCCAAAGUAGCGUUCUGGCAGGUCUUGGCACUGGAAGAAUUCACAGAUGUGUAAAAUAUAAUCGUGGAUCUUGCAAUGCCAUCACUGGCUGGAUGCCAUCUCACCGUUUUAUAUUUAUAAAUGUUAAUAUGGCGCUCAUCGUAAUAAAUUUUUUCAUUUAUUGUAUAAUAUAAUAUACUUACGAGCAAUUUAUCGCACUGUCAUAAGAUGUGGCCCUACUUAAGAAAAAUGUAAUUAAUUAUUCAAAUAUAUUGCUUCUAUAUUAGACUAGAUGAACUCUGACGAUAUAAAUAUAAUUUGAAUCG